rnacentral:rRNA from 1 species
GACAAAACGGGUGAAAAACCCGUUCGCCGAAAGACCAAGGGUUCCAGUCCAACGUUAAUCGGGGCUGGGUGAGUCGACCCCUAAGGCGAGGCCGAAAGGCGUAGUCGAUGGGAAAAUGGUUAAUAUUCCAUUACUUCUGUGUAAUGCGAUGAGAGGACGGAGAAGGCUAAAUCAGCCUGGCGUUGGUUGUCCAGGUGAAAGGAUGUAGGCAUGUAUCUUAGGCAAAUCCGGGGUACUCUAUGCUGAGAUCUGAUAGCAAGCUGUACUUGUACAGCGAAGUGGUUGAUGCCAUGCUUCCAGGAAAAGUCUCUAAGCUUCAGUUACACAGGAAUCGUACCCGAAACCGACACAGGUGGUCAGGUCGAGUAGACCAAGGCGCUUGAGAGAACUCUGCUGAAGGAACUAGGCAAAAUGGUACCGUAACUUCGGGAGAAGGUAC